CAGAACGAACGCUGGCGGCGCGUUUAAGCAUGCAAGUCGAGCGGCAAGGGCCUUCGGGCCCCUAGAGCGGCGGACGGGUGAGUAACACGUGGACAAUCUGCCCCCGGCCCGGGAUAGCCCAGGGAAACCUGGAUUAAUACCGGAUGAGACGGGACCCGCGAUGGCGGGACCCGGGAAAGGCGCUGCGGCGCCGCCGGGGGAUGAGUCUGCGUCCCAUUAGCUAGACGGCGGGGUAACGGCCCACCGUGGCGACGAUGGGUAGCCGGCCUGAGAGGGUGGACGGCCACAUUGGAACUGAGACACGGUCCAGACUCCUACGGGAGGCAGCAGCUAAGAAUCUUCCGCAAUGGGCGAAAGCCUGACGGAGCGACGCCCGCGUGAACGAAGAAGGCCGUGAGGUUGUAAAGUUCUUUUCGGGAGGGGGAACAACCGUGGCAGGGAAUGGCCGCGGGAUGACGUGAAUCCCGGAAUAAGCCCCGGCUAACUACGUGCCAGCCGCAGC
rnacentral:rRNA from 1 species